CCUCUUCUGCCACGUGAGGACACAGAGUUUGUCCCUUUUUACGCUUCCGCCUUCUGUUAUAUGAGUAUACAGCAAGGAGACCUCGCCAGAUGCCAGCAUCUUGAUCUUGAAAUUUCCAGCCUGUGAGAAGUAAAUUUCUGUUCCUUGUAAAUUAUCCAGUUUCAUAUAUUCUGUUAGAGCAGCACAAAAGACUAAGACAAUUAAAUGAUUAUAUUAUUAGUAGUAAAUAUAAUUAUUAAUGCUCAGAAUAAAUACCUAUGGCCCUUAAUAAGCUAGGUGAAUAAACAAUAGACAAGCCUCCAGUGUAAACAGAGAAGGAUAAAAUCACAGUGAGAACUCUGUAUAUGGACAAGUAAGGUGAAGUCAACACUGACUGUUUAUAUUUUGAGAGGUUUUACUGGAAGUGCAUGUGCAGCAAAACACAACAUUCAAGCAAAUGAAAAUAAUCAUGAAAUUAUCUUGCCAAGAGUGAAAUCUUAGAGGAGGGGACUUCCAAGCUUUUCUUUCUUUCCCAAUUUUAGUUGUUUUUUUUAAGGUGUAAGAUCUGGGACUACACUGUAUUUUCUGUAAAUUGUACAGAGCAAGUAUGUGGUGACUUUUCUUCCCUCAGAUUUUAAUCUACUGGAUAUGCCCAUAAAGUUUGCCGGAAUAACAGCUGGUUCUGGAAGCUGUUGGAAAUAUGAGCUAUAGAAAGGUAUAUCAUCAUGGCACUUAUUAGCCACAGGAGAAGCCAGAAUUAUGUCAGCAAUACAACCAGCCUGCCACUCAUUGGAUGAUACCCUUUGUGAUGUUCCUGACACUGCCAGCAUCACCUAUUACAGAUUUAUAGCUUCCUUCAGUGGCAAAAAAAAAAAAAGAUCAAAAAAACCCUUUUCUUGUUCUUGUCUACUAAGCAAAUGAAUAUUAUAAUCUACAAAGAAAUGUGCUUAAUUGAUUACGUCCUCAUUCAUUUAUUCACUCGUGUCACAAAAAUUAACUGAAUUCCAAACAUGGACCAAGUACUAAAUUCAUUUUUAAAAAUUUAAUGAAUAAAAUGAGUAGAUGCAUAGGUGAACAAAUGAAAAACUACUGUGAUUACUCUUUUGUAGAAUAAGUGUGAAUUAUUCUCAAAGUAGAGAGGCUUAACACAGAAGACAAGGUAGGGAAGAAACUUCUACCAGUUUAAAGAACCCUAAGAGGACAGAGAAGGGACAUUUAGUUCUGAGAUAUCAAUGUUAGCACUGUGUUCCAGAUUCAGAAGCUGUCAUUACUUGAGAGGAGAAGGAAGAAACAAAACAAAAUGUUAUUAACAAUGAUGACAACAUGUAAGUCUACUUGGUUCUACCAUAAAUAUUUGUAUAGACUUUCCUAUUUUCAAACUAAUGCUGAUUAUAAGUUUAUCAAUUUAGCUUACCACAACCCUGAAGAGGUUUACAUUGCAAUCAUUCCACUCUACCUAUUAAAAACUGAUUAUUUUGCAACU